rnacentral:lncRNA from 1 species
GAAAGAGCCAUGAUUUUCCAUUAAACUUUGGAUCUAUUUGUCAAAAGUGGUGAUACUUUGCUGUUGAUAACAUAGUUUAAAGGGGAACCGAACCACACAGCUUGAGCCCAGGGGCAUAAUAAAAUCAUGUGCUAAAUUGAUUCAUCUUCCAAGUCACAUAUUGGGUAAAUUGGAGAGACCGAGAUCCGUUUUAUGUAAAGGGAAAGCUUAGUGGAUAUGGACUUGUUGAGAAGACGCCAGCAGAAGUGUUGAUGCUCAAAAUGGCCCGGCCAAUAUUGAGUACAACUUAGUGAUUAGAUGUGCUGAGUCUUCAGCAGAGAAGAGGGCUGAGGCCCUUGGUGAAAUGGGUUGGUGAGAGACCUGUAGAAGGUAAAAAGAGGAGAAGCGAUCGUUAAGCUUCGGACACCGGUGUGGUGCCGGCCGAAGGCUCUCCGAUGCCUAAGUCAGUUACGAGUAGUAAUUCUGGCAGAGUAACAGUAAAAGUGGGAGAAUAGUUCUUGGUUUUACCUGGGUACUGUUCCCUAUUUAUAGGGAAGUGAAAGUGGGAGCUUUGCACAAAGUUCCAAUGUGGGACUUUGUGCAAGCCGUUGUGGUGACGACACGUGUCCUGGAGAUUAGGUUUGGCAGCUGAGAGCUUUGGCAGGUGUCUCGCACCUCGGAAGUGUGUCUUCCUUCGGCAUGGGAGAAGGCGUGGCUGCCUUGGUGCUAGUCGCUUUGAUGCUGGGUCUGCUCGGUUCAUUAUGGUGUAAACAGUAGUCCCCUAAGUUCGCGGUCGAGAAGUAACUUCUGGGUUGGGAACUUGUGAGUUUUUGUAAUUGUAACCGAGCAUUCCAGCUUCAUUGGGAGCCGCAGGGCACUCCCUAGUCCCCCAAGUUGGCAAGCUAGGAGUUGCGUCAACACAUAGUAGCUAGGUACCUGGGUACUUGGGCAUGUUGCAGAUAGGAUGGGAGCUGGGUCCCUAGGGGAGCCAGACCUUCGGGGGAGCCGGGUACUUUGAAAAUUUUGGAGACUCCAAUUCUUUCAUGGCUCCUGCCGUUCGGCAAGGGUCUAGCUCCAUUUUUUUUUUUUUUUUUGGGGAAUGGCCUGGCCAUUUGGAAUUUUUGGACCCUCCAUAGCUUCUCCAUGGCCCUUGCCGUUCGGCAAGGGUGCAGCCAAAUUUUAUUUUAUUUUAUUUUUUUGGAUGGCUUGGGAGCUAGGCCUGCAAGGGAGCCGGGUCGUUUUGAAAAUUUUAAACUCUCCACAAAACCUCCAUGGCCCUUGCCGUUCGGCAAGGGUCUAGCCACACACAUAUACAUAAUUGAAAUUUUUUUGAACUUGGGAGCUAGGUCAUAGAGGGAGCCGGGUCGUUUUUGAAAAUUUUGAACACGCCAUAGUUCCCCAAGGCCCUUGCCGUUCGGCAAGGGUCUAGCCGUUUUGCAGGGCCGGGCCAUGUUGAGAGAGAUUGAAGGCUUAGCUUGGAUUGGGCCUUCGGCAAGUAAGAAAGGCUUGAGUUUGGCCAAAGUGGGCUUCGGCAUGUAAGAAGGCUAGGGUUUUGAUAGGGGGUAUAAAAAUGGGAUGGUUAUGCCGUUCGGCAAGGAUCCAUUCGGCAGGUUGAGGUAGAACAAAAUUUUGAAAUCCAAUCUUGCCGUUCGGCAAGUUCUUGGAGUCCCGGUCUUGGAGUCACGGCUGUGGAGUUGCUGUCCGAGGGCUCUGGAGGUGCAGAUCGGCAGGUGCUGCGGAGGUGGUCCGAGGGCUCUGCAGGUGGCUGAGCUUCGGCAGGGCAGCUGGAGUUCUUUGGGGGCUGAGCUUCGGCGGCAGCACGGGGGUUGAGAACCUUCGGCAGGGCAGCUGGAGGAGCUGGGCGUUGCAACUUUGCUUCGGCAGGGGGCGCGGCAGCUGAUUCGGCAGGCGUGGUGCUGUGCCGAUCGGCAGGGUCUGGUCGAGGUGCAGUUGAGGUGCUGCGGAGAUCGAAGUGGAGCUGCGACUGAUCUUGCCGUUCGGACGAAGGGGCUGGGCUGCUGUUUCGGCAAGCGCAGCGAGGCUGUGCUGUCCGAGGAGUAGCUGCUGUCCGAGGUAGUGUGUUGGCUGUGUU